AUGAAAAAUGAAGAAAGCAAAGCCAUGAGAAAAUCCAGCAGGGUGUGGCUGGACCUCUCUGGAGCAGAAGGACAACAGGAGACACAGAGAAGACAACAGAUCAUCAAAAAGCAGCAGCACUGCUCCACACUGCUGGGGUUUAUGGGGAGAGUGCAUGUCCUGUCCCCUGUCUUUUAUAAUUCAUCACCAGGCACCUCUGAACCAACUGACAGGCAACAGGCACAGCUUCAGAGGGCAAACCCAGGCUGUAUUCUGUUACCUUUGCAAGCCCCAGCACUGGGACUGGUUAGCACUAUUUUUUUGCCCACAUAUUUACCUGCAGUGGCCAGGAUUCACAUGUACAAGAUUUCCUAUAGCACUUCAUUGUCCCUUGUGUUUUGGGGGAAUGGCAAAAAGGCAUGCAGCAGGAAGCAUCUGGCAAGAGCACAUUAGAGCUUGCAAAACCCUGCCUGGCACCAAUGCUCCCAAAGGAAACUGUUUUUCUCUGACACUUGUGGAGUAAGACAAGUCUACCCUUGGCAUCUGCCACUUCUGCAGUGUUUCAUCUGUGAAAUGGAGGAUUUCCUUCAGCACGAUAAGAAAAGUGCUCUGCUUUUCAUCUCCUGUGACUGGGGAGAUGGUAUUUGUUAUGCAAGAGGUCAUUCUUUAUUUGGGGUGAGGGAUGAGGGUCUGAAUUUUUAAUGUCUUCAUCUAUUUUUGAUCCCUUAUGGACUAAAAGGGGUCUUACUUGAUCAUUUUCCCAUUACCUCCAGUGAGCCUGCAGUCUCCCAGAAGAUGCCCUACCUCCCACUGGAGCUUCCUUCACCCUUAAGGGGGCAAAGGCCAUAAAUCUUCAUCAUGCUUGUAAUGGGUAUACUCAAAAAAGCCACCAUUUUCCUGGAAAAAAAAAAUAUCAAUUUUUCUCCCACACAGACAUAUUAUCCACAAAUAUCUUUUGCAGUAUUGGGUGGGAGUGUGGACAUAAACAGGUCCAUUCCAGGUUUUCCUUUGACUAGAUGGGAAUACAAGUUGCCACACAUUCCUAUGUGGGAUCCAGAAGGAAAACCAAAGGGUAAAUACCCUACACGUGGCAAGGAUUAUAGGUGCAAGAGACUGGGUGCUGACAGCAGUUUCUAGUGGAUGACAUGACAAAGUCGAAUCAUGUAAUAUGUGCUUCCACAGCACCUGAUGAAGCAGAAGUGCUAAAUACCUUGUAAGAUUAAGCCCUAGAGGAGUAUCACUGACACCAGAUCAUGUAUUCAGCUGGGCUGUGAUACUACUCUCUACAUAUCACAACCAAGCCUCUGCACUCCCUGAUGAAAACUUCUGGCCUUAAUGCUGUGGAUUAUGUUGGCAUGGCUACUAACACAACGGGACCAGCCAGGAUUGAAAGUAUGCGUUGGGGAUGAGGGCUGCAGGAAAGAUCUAAAAAGAAGAGAUGCACUUUGCAACUUAGAAAGCAGUUGUUACAUUGUCCCGGUCCCACUGCUGGUGGUGCUCUGCAGUUUGAAUAUAUUCCUUCACAAACAGAUUUUGGGGCAGAAGGAGAGGUCUGAGUGAAAUGUAUGGCAUAAUGAUGCCCUGCACAAAGGAAAAGGAUGAACUGGAAGGGAAGAGGGAGAAGGGAACCUGGCACAUUCAAGUUGUCUCACAAAUAAGCUUGGGAAUGACUGAAACAAAAGAAGGAAUAUUGCUCACCUGCCUGCAGGCUGAAGGAUGCCAUGCUGUAUGCAUGUCCAAGACCAGCUGCUGGCAUGCCAACUUUGGUGCAAAUCCUCUGGUGCCUUUAAAGGCCGAAACUUGUGAUUUUUAUAUAUUUGCCAAAAAUGAAUAUCUGAUAUGAAAUUAUUGUUGUGCAUUUGACGUUUUAAAUGUAUUAUCCAAUUAAAAAGCAGUAACAUCUGCUCCCGUGCACUAAACUUCCUGUAAGUAAAGAUGCACAAGCCCUGGAGAUUCAGCAUUACGUGAAAUAGAUUCAUUUAAUAUAAUUGAACAUAAUUGUGCAUGUAAUGUUUUAACGUCAUAUUAUUCAGCAGAUUUGCAAAUAAUAGCUAGGUUACUUGCCACCAGCCAUAUGCUGGUGACAUGAUGGCACAAGCACCAUAAUACUCAUCAAGACAAGUUCAUUACUCUGAGGGCACUGGAACUGAGAUGUUGUGGUGACCUGGGGACACUAACGUAUGCCUUGAGGAAACACCAACACCAGAUACCAGGUAAUAAAAUUUCUUGCCCUCUGUUGGUAAGAGAGACU
rnacentral:lncRNA from 1 species